GAUUGAACUGAAGAGUUUGAUCCUGGCUCAGAUUGAACGCUGGCGGCAUGCUUUACACAUGCAAGUCGAACGCGAAAGGGGGGCAACCCCCGAGUAGAGUGGCGAACGGGUGAGUAAUACAUCGGAACAUAUCCUGUAGCGGGGGAUAACCUCGAGAAAUCGAGGCUAAUACCGCAUACGUCCUACGGGAGAAAGCGGGGGAUCGCAAGACCUCGCACUAUAGGAGUGGCCGAUGUCGGAUUAGCUAGUUGGCGGGGUAAAAGCCCACCAAGGCUACGAUCCGUAGCUGGUCUGAGAGGAUGAUCAGCCACACUGGGACUGAGACACGGCCCAGACUCCUACGGGAGGCAGCAGUGGGGAAUUUUG
rnacentral:rRNA from 1 species